rnacentral:rRNA from 1 species
GACAGAGGGUGCAACCGUUGUUCGGAAUUACUGGGCGUAAAGCGCGUGUAGGCGGUUUGGUAAGUCGGAUGUGAAAGCCCCGGGCUCAACCCGGGAAGUGCACUCGAUACUGCCAAGCUAGAGUAUCGGAGAGGUUGGUGGAAUUCUCGGUGUAGAGGUGAAAUUCGUAGAUAUCGAGAGGAACACCGGUGGCGAAGGCGGCCAACUGGACGAAUACUGACGCUGAGGAGCGAAAGCGUGGGGAGCGAACAGG